AGGGGACCAGAGUUCCCUUUUGGUGGGUGCUAGCAAGUCCAAUAAUCUGGUAGUUCUUCUAUUCCUCAUCCUCAUUCUGGUCCCGUGGGUGGAGAGGAAGACCAUGAAUCUGGAGUACUUAUCCUCCCACCUGGUCCCCUGGUCCCUUUGCUGGAUCUGCUGGUUUCCUGGUCUCAUUGGUGGAAGAGAUGACCUGAAAUCUGGGCUCCUUUUCUCCCUCUGGGAUUGGAAGCUCUGUGCAGUUUUCAGGUAAUCCCCAGGAACUGGAAUUCUGGCCCAGAUGCAGGGCCUGUUGUACUUGGUCCUGCUAGAUCAGCUGGUCCCCUGGUGUCGCUGCAUCUGAUGGGUUCCUGGUUUCCUUGGUGGGAGAGAAGACCUGGAAUCUAGGGUGCUUGGCUCCGGCCGUGAUUGGAAGCUCAAUGCAGUUCCCAGGCAAUCCCCAGGCACUGGAACGCAGGCCCAGUGAGGCAGUGUUAUUCCCAUGACCCUAUGGUCAUCUUCUGGGAAACCAAAGUCUUUGGCUUCUGGGGGGAGUAUGGAUGCAAAGCUGAAACUUAAAGGAAUUGAUGGAAGGGCACCACCAGGAGUGGAGCCUGUGGCUGACUUUGGCUCAACACAGGAAACCUCACCUGGCCUGGACAAGGACAGGAUUGACAGAUUGAUAGCUCUUUCGCGAGUCCAUGGGUGGUGGUGCAUGGCCAUUGUUAGUUGGUAGAGCGAUUUGUCUGGUUCAUUCCCUUGUCUUUUCUAAUAACUCUUCUCUUCAUCUUUUCCAUAUGAAGAGGAUUAAUGUACCCAUCUCUUAAGGUCUCACUAAUAAUUCCUGGUAAACACAUACUGUUAUUUUUUAUCUGUAGUAGCUGUUUUCUGGUGUUCAUAUUAUUGUAGGAAUGGAAACAACUGAGAGAAAAAGUUUAGAGUAAUGGAAAUCAAUCCUAUUAAAAGAAUGCCAACUCUAUUAUAAGGCUGACUACUGCUAAGUGUGAGAGAUAAAGUAACUCAAAUGUGGUAUUCUCCUCCAUGUAGUUUUCUAGUCAUAUGUAGUAAUGAUGUCAAAAUAAAUCACAUUACUGUAUUUACAGGAUGCAUUCCAGAAUAAUUAAAAUCUGCAAAGAUUAAAA
rfam:Mesocricetus auratus contig124570, whole genome shotgun sequence.